UUCUUGUUCCCUGUCAUAUGGUUACUACAACCACUAUCCAAAUACCAAAUAUCUUUUGAAUCCGAAUCAACAUUAAAACAUGAAUAGAAUAGAUUAUCUGCUUCCGUAAAGUUAGCUUCGGCAGGUUUAUUAUACCAACAAUCUCUUUGGGAGUGAUUAGCAUUUUUAUGCCUUUUGCAUUUAAAUCUACAAUCUUGCGUAUUGUGAUUUGAUUUCUCACAAAUACGACAUUGGGAGGAAGACGUACCUUUUGAGAAAUUAUUUUUAACAAACCUUCCUUNNNN
rnacentral:lncRNA from 1 species